rnacentral:rRNA from 1 species
CCUACGGGAGGCAGCAGUGGGGAAUAUUGGGCAAUGGGCGAAAGCCUGACCCAGCAAUGCCGCGUGAAUGAAGAAGGUCUUAGGAUUGGAAAAUUCUGUCCUAUGGGAAGAAAAAAUGACGGUACAAUAGGAGGAAGCCCUGGCUAAAUACGUGCCAGCAGCUGGGGUAAUACGAAGUGGGCGAGAGUUGUCCGGAAUUACGGGGCGGAAAGAGAGCGUGGGCGGAACUACAAGUCUCAUGUGAAAGACCCGGUCUUAACUUGGGGGUGGCAUGGGAAACUGUAAAGGUUGAGUACAGGAGAGGCGAGCGGAAUUCCUAGUGUAGCGGUGAAAUGCAUAGAUAUUAGGAAGAACACCAGUGGCGAAGGCAGCUUGCUGGACUGAAACUGACGCUGAGGCUCGAAAGCGUGGGGAGCAAACAGGAUUAGAUACCCUGGUAGUC